AUGGAUUUAAGGGCCAUCUUCGUGAUCUACGCAUCAAGAAGAUUCAAACGGUACCGGAGUUGUAAUUUUUCGGUGAGGUUUGAUCAACUCCGGCGAGGAUGCCGCCGGAGAAGAUGGUGGAAACCACCGUCUGCAAAUGCAAAGCCAAACGUGAUUCCCUUUGCGCUAGGCGUGGCGCGUCGUUACUGGUUCAUGUUUUAA